rnacentral:lncRNA from 1 species
UUAGACAGAGUUGUGGAGUAGAGGGACGGAAGUGAUGGAGGCCGACUGACAUGGAGGCUGACUGACAGAGAUGGGGCAGUUCAGGCGGUGUGUGCCGACCUAAGACACUGCCUUGGGAGCAUCUUCAUACUCCAGCUUCAUACUCCUCGGGGAUAUCAGUAAUGCAGCAAUUUUCAAAUGGAAGUUUAGGGAUGUUUAGAAAAGAGCAGCCCCUGGGGCUGCCUUCCUGAGUACUGUCCUACCACUACCAGAGGAUAAGGACAUUUAGCCUCCGAGUCUCCGCAGUCUCUGUUCUGCUGUCUGCGAAAUGUGGCUAUAGCGAGGAAAUAAUGGGAUUGUAUGCUGAGCAAGGCCUAACAAGUAGCAGGUGGCCACACUGCCCACUGUCUGGGAAGUGAGGAGCGCCUCUGACUGGCCGCCAACCAUCUGGGAAGUGAGGAGCGCCUCUGCCCGGCCACCCUGUCUGGCAAGUGAGGAGCGCCUAUGCCUGGUCACCCCGUCUGGCAAGUGAGGAGUGCCUAUGCCUGACCACCCCGUCUGGGAAAUGAGGAGCGCCUCUGCCCAGCCACCACCCCGUCUAGCAAGUGAGGAGCACCUAUGCCCGGCCAUUCCAUCUGGCAAGUAAGGAGCACCUCUGCCUGGCCACCCCGUCUGGGAAGUGAGGAGUGCCUCUGCCCAGCUGCCCACCAUCUGGGAAGUGAGGAGCACCUCUGCCUGGCUGCCCACCGUCUGGGAAGUGAGGAGCACCUCUGCCUGGCCGGCCACUGUCUGGGAAAUGAGAAGCCCCUCUGCCCAGCCACCCCACCAUCUGGCAAGUGAGGCGCGCCUCUGCCCGGCCGCCGCCCCGUCUGGGAAGUGAGGAGCGCCUCUGCCCGGCCAGCCUUGUGUGUGAUCUUUUCUGUCUUCCCCAAGUUUGCAUUUUUGACAUUAAGUUUACUUUUUAAUUAAAAGUUUUAAAUUGGAGAAUAUAAAAAACAAACAAACAACAAAAAAAGUUUUUCAUAGCCCGGGCAACAUGGUGAAACCCCAUCUCUACAAAGAAUACAAAAAAAAGAAAUAGUUGGGCAUGGUGGUACACACCUGUAAUCCCAGCUACUCGGGGCUGAGGUUGGAGGAUCACCUAAGUCCAGUAGGUGGAGGCUGCAGUGAGCUGUGUUUGCACCACUGCAUUCUACCCUGGGUGACAGAGUGAGACCCUGUCUCAAAAAAAAGAAGUUUUGCA